GAUUUCUGGUUUAAUGCACCUGGCCCGCGGCCAAUAGGCUUGUGAGUGCCGGCGCGCGUUUACCAUCCUUCUAGAAAACGAUUCUGCCAUUCACUUGGUUGGGACCGCGAUCUAGAUCUUUUACUUUGAAAAAAUUAGAGUGUUUAAAGCAGGCUUUGUUCUAUUUUGUUGGUUUCUAUAACUGAAGUAAUGAUUGAUAGGGAUAGUUGGGGGUGCUAGUAUUGCCGGCCAGAGGUGAAAUUCUUGGAUUCAGUCAAGACUAACUUAUGCGAAAGCAUU
rnacentral:rRNA from 1 species